rnacentral:rRNA from 1 species
AGUGAACGCUGGCGGUAGGCCUAACACAUGCAAGUCGAACGGCAGCACAGUAAGAGCUUGCUCUUACGGGUGGCGAGUGGCGGACGGGUGAGGAAUACAUCGGAAUCUACUUUUUCGUGGGGGAUAACGUAGGGAAACUUACGCUAAUACCGCAUACGACCUACGGGUGAAAGCAGGGGAUCUUCGGACCUUGCGCGAUUGAAUGAGCCGAUGUCGGAUUAGCUAGUUGGCGGGGUAAAGGCCCACCAAGGCGACGAUCCGUAGCUGGUCUGAGGGGAUGAUCAGCCACACUGGAACUGAGACACUGUCCAGACUCCUACGGGAGGCAGCAGUGGGGAAUAUUGGACAAUGGGCGCAAGCCUGAUCCAGCCAUACCGCGUGGGUGAAGAAGGCCUUCGGGUUGUAAAGCCCUUUUGUUGGGAAAGAAAAGCAGCAGGUUAAUACCCCGCUGUUCUGACGGUACCCAAAGAAUAAGCACCGGCUAACUUCGUG